UACCCUGUUGUGGGGGGUAACUAGUCGAAAGAUUAGCUAAUACCGCAUACGACCUGAGGGUGAAAGCGGGGGACCGUAAGGCCUCGCGCAGCAGGAGCGGCCGAUGUCUGAUUAGCUAGUUGGUGGGGUAAAGGCCCACCAAGGCGACGAUCAGUAGCUGGUCUGAGAGGACGAUCAGCCACACUGGGACUGAGACACGGCCCAGACUCCUACGGGAGGCAGCAGUGGGGAAUUUUGGACAAUGGGGGCAACCCUGAUCCAGCAAUGCCGCGUGUGUGAAGAAGGCCUUCGGGUUGUAAAGCACUUUUGUCCGGAAAGAAAACGUUCUGGUUAAUACCUGGGGCGGAUGACGGUACCGGAAGAAUAAGCACCGGCUAACUACGUGCCAGCAGCCGCGGUAAUACGUAGGGUGCGAGCGUUAAUCGGAAUUACUGGGCGUAAAGCGUGCGCAGGCGGUUUUGUAAGACAGGCGUGAAAUCCCCGAGCUCAACUUGGGAAUUGCGCUUGUGACUGCAAGGCUAGAGUAUGUCAGAGGGGGGUAGAAUUCCACGUGUAGCAGUGAAAUGCGUAGAGAUGUGGAGGAAUACCGAUGGCGAAGGCAGCCCCCUGGGACAUCACUGACGCUCAUGCACGAAAGCGU
rnacentral:rRNA from 1 species